GGCUUCAUAAUCUACAGGUUGAGGGUUUGGGGUUUUUUUUCUUUCAUGGGGUCUACUCUAUGGUGAGUUUUUUAAUAUUCUUCCUGA